rnacentral:rRNA from 1 species
UACAGAGGUCCCAAGCGUUGUUCGGAUUCACUGGGCGUAAAGGGUGCGUAGGUGGUGGGGUAAGUCGGAUGUGAAAGCUCGGAGCUCAACUCCGAAAUGGCAUUGGAAACUGCCCUGCUAGAGGGUCGGAGGGGGGACUGGAAUACUUGGUAUAGCAGUGAAAUGCGUAGAUAUCAAGUGGAACACCAGUGGCGAAGGCGAGUCCCUGGACGACUCCUGACACUGAGGCACGAAAGCUAGGGGAGCAAACAGG